rnacentral:lncRNA from 1 species
UCAUGCAUAAAAUUUGAUUUGCUACUGUGAAUAUUUAUUUGAAAUUUCAAUUUUUCAUUCAAUUAUUAUUAUUAUCAUUUGCAUGAUGCUUUUAAUUACUAUUUAAAUAUGUUUUUCCUUUAUUACCAAUUUUAAUAUUGCAUGAUGACUCAGGAUGGGACGGCAGUAGAACAUAGGAGUUGGAUGAGUGUCCAAUAUAAUAUGAGAGAGAUAAGAAAAGGGUAAAGAGGUAAAAAAUUUGAGAAAGAAAGAUUAGGACCUGCCCUGGUCGAGCAUCGCUCUCUGGGCUUAGUAGAGUGUGGUUGCCGGAGUAAAGGUCCCUGG